GGCUACCGCUAUUGGAAUCCGAUUAAGCCAUGCGAGUCGAGAGAUUUCGGAUCUCGGCAGACGUCUCAGUAACACGCGGAUAAUCUGCCCUUGAGUGGAGGAUAAUCUCGGAAACCUGAGCAUAAUACUCCAUAGACCUAGGAUGCUGGAAUGCUUCUAGGUUCAAAGCUCCGGCGCUCAAGGAUGAGUCUGCGGCCUAUCAGGCAGUAGUGGGUGUAACGGACCCACUAACCUUUGACGGGUAUGGGCCUUGAGAGAGGUUGCCCAGAGUUGGACUCUGAGACACGAGUCCAGGCCCUACGGGGUGCAGCAGGCGCGAAAACUUCACAAUGUGGGAAACCGCGAUGAGGGGAUUCCAAGUGCCAGCACACUGUGUUGGCUGUUCACCUGCCUAAAAAGCUGGUGAAGUAAGGGCCGGGUAAGACGGGUGCCAGCCGCCGCGGUAAUACCCGCGGCCCGAGUGGUGGUCGUUAUUAUUGAGCCUAAAGCGUCCGUAGCCGGUUUGGUAAAUUUCUGGGUAAAUCGGGCAGCUUAACUGUCCGAAUUCCGGAAAGACUGCCAAACUUGGGACCGGGGGAGGUUGGAGGUACUCCUGGGGUAGGGGUGAAAUCCUGUAAUCCUGGGGGGGCCACCAGUGGCGAAGGCGUCCAACCAAAACGGAUCCGACGGUAAGGGACGAAGCCCUGGGGCGCAAACGGGAUUAGAUACCCCGGUAGUCCAGGGUGUAAACGCUGCAGGCUUGGUGUUGGGGGUCCUACGAGGGCGCCCAGUGCCGGAGAGAAGUUGUUAAGCCUGCCGCUUGGGGAGUACGUCCGCAAGGAUGAAACUUAAAGGAAUUGGCGGGGGAGCACAGCAACGGGUGGAGCGUGCGGUUC
rnacentral:rRNA from 1 species